GCUGAGCACAGUGACACGCACCUGUAGUCCCAGCUACUCAGGAGGCUGAGGCAAGAGGAUCACUUGAGCCCAGGAGUUCAAGACCAGCCUGGGCAACACAGCAAGACCCCAUCUCAA
rnacentral:sRNA from 1 species